GGUAACAAUGAGCCAGGCCCCCCAUUCCUUAUUUGCAGCCCAGGGGGAGUAGUUAGGCAAUCCCGCCGCAACCGGGUCACAGUGGCACUGAAACAAGGGCCAUCGCUAUUAGGCGCAGCAGUAAGAAGUUUUUGGCAAUGCGUUAAAGGACUAGACAGUGACAUACUGCGGGACUCUGCCGGUGUGUGCGCGACCAGGACGCCAUCCAACUAGAACAGCUCCGGCAAAUUCCGUGCCAGCAGCCGCGGGAAGACGGGAGGAGCAAGCGUAUUGCGUGGGGAUUGGGUGAAUCGAGUGAAGGUGGUGCGACUACAGGCUUCUGUUAGUUGGAUUAAAUGGCGCGCGCGAAGCCUUGUGUUAUUAUGCGUGGAACGGUCAAAUGUUGAGAUAUGCGUAGGACGGCCGAAGGUGGAGACAGCAAUUCGAGCGCGGCCGCAACUGUAGCUCGGAAGGCUGGGGAUCGACCCGGAUUAGAUACCCGAUUAGUCCAGCCCGUCAACGAAAGAAUGAGCAAUUCUAAACCUGGUGAUACGUCCGCAAGGGUUGUAAUCAUAGAAUCUGGCAGACAUGGUCAUACACUGUGGAGCAUGCGGUUUAAUGCGAUUGUCCGCGUAUAACCUUACCACUUUAGUAAA
rnacentral:rRNA from 1 species